rnacentral:tRNA from 1 species
GCCGUAGUGGCGGAACUGGCAGACGCACAGGACUUAAAAUCCUGCGGUCGCAAGAUCGUACCGGUUCGAUUCCGGUCUUCGGC